rnacentral:lncRNA from 10 species
CUUAGAUAAUGAAGCUGUGGCAGUAGGAAUGUAUGUGAGGCAACCUGCCAGGGUAAUGAGAUGAAGAAACAAAUAAAAUGUAAAGGCUACAGAAUGAAGAAGCAAGUAAGUACUGUCUGUGCCUGUAAACCCCCGUCACCUGAUGGAAUGGAUGUCUGCCCUAUAUCUCAGGGCUUUGUUAUAAACUCAAAUGAAAGGAUAUUUAUGAAAGAACAGUAUGAACUAAACUACAAACACAAGAACGCUGAAUCUCCCGGACUGGCCCUCUGGACUCGAAUAUCAGCACUUGGGGAUGAAUGAAGAAGGUGCAUCAUUUCCAGGGAAGCAGAUUUGCUGUUGACUAAUAAAGACCAUUUACUUGGAGUGGGGCCAA